UACGUAGGGGGCAAGCGUUAUCCGGAUUUACUGGGUGUAAAGGGGGCGCAGACGGCAAUGCAAGCCAGGAGUGAAAGCCCGGGGCCCAACCCCGGGACUGCUCUUGGAACUGCAUGGCUGGAGUACAGGAGGGGCAGGCGGAAUUCCUAGUGUAGCGGUGAAAUGCGUAGAUAUUAGGAGGAACACCGGUGGCGAAGGCGGCUUACUGGACAGAAACUGACACUGAGGCUCGAAAGCGUGGGGAGCAAACAGG
rnacentral:rRNA from 1 species